rnacentral:lncRNA from 1 species
AGAACGGGCACGUCCCACACGCGAGCAAGGCUUCUUGCUGUGCCGCCCGUCAGAGCCAAGUCUGUGAUGGCGCCUCUGUUCCAGGUUGUUACAGAGCUGGGCAGCUCCUCAGGAAGUUGGCAUUAAAGAGAGCUGGUGUUCAAAAUCUGGAUUUUCUUUUUUUUUUUUUUUUAACCGAGAGUCCUUUCCCCUCAAUAAACUUGACAAAGGAGAUCAAGGAAACUAGGAAACUACCAGAAAUUCUCAUUUGCAUUUCCAAGCAAACGCCCAGCAAUCUUAGUCAUAUUAGCUGCAUGGCUUUGGGGUUAGAAAGGAGGUGAGGUUGGGAGGGGAAGAUAAAGGAUAAAAUCAGAGUGAAUAACACAGAAGAGGUCUAGCCAGCUGCCUUUCCUGCUUACAAGGGGCCACUGGGGCCAGAGCAGGCCUCCUCCCCCGGCUGUUGCGUCCAGGCUGUUUCCCACACUGUAGACCCCCUUCCUCCUUUGGUCCUCUCUGCCCUUCCCUGGGUCUCCCAUUUCAGACCUUGCUGUGCUUCCCAGUCCCCCACAUGGAACUCAGACUCCAAUUUCCAUCAGUCAAGGGCUUGCCUCUUCAGGCACAUGUCCUCAGCUCCCACUAAGAGGUCCUCAGCUUUAGGCCAGCUCGGCAGACUGGGGAAAUGGACGCCUCUGCACUGACCCAGCAAUGCUUAUCCAGAUCAGUGUUCAGGGAGCACCUUUCUCUCUAUGUCCUGUGGAUGCAGGGUCUGCCUGGUCAACGGCAAAGGUGUCUUUAUGCAUCUUCGGGAGGUUGGCCUGUUACUGGGUAUAGAGUUAGGGAAAGUACAGCCUGAGAAAUUAAUAUAGAAUGCAUGUGUAUAUACAUACAGACAUUUUUGUGCUUUCUUUUUAUAAAAGUAAAACAUGUCCUUUAAUGGACAUUCGACAAAUACAGAAGAAUAUAAAAAGAAAAUCAAAAUCUCCUGUAAACCUACCAGCU